rnacentral:rRNA from 1 species
UGCCAGCCGCCGCGGUAACACGGGGGGCGCAAGCGUUAUUCGGAAUUAUUGGGCGUAAAGGGCGCGCAGGCGGGACGAUAAGUCAGUGGUGAAAUCCUACAGCUUAACUGUAGAACUGCCAUUGAUACUGUUGUUCUUGAGUACAGUUGAGGUAGGCGGAAUGUGUCAUGUAGCGGUGAAAUGCUUAGAUAUGACACAGAACACCGAUUGCGAAGGCAGCUUACUAAACUGUUACUGACGCUGAGACACGAAAGCGUUGGGAGCGAACAGGAUUAGAUA